rnacentral:tRNA from 1 species
GAGCGCGUAGCUCAGUCGGUAGAGCGCCUGACUUUUAAUCAGGAUGUCCAGGGUUCGAGUCCCUGCGCGCUCACCA